rnacentral:rRNA from 1 species
GACGGAGGGGGCAAGCGUUGUCCGGACUCAUUGGGCGUAAAGAGCUCGUAGGCGGUUUGUCGCGUCUGCUGUGAAAACCUAAGGCUCAACCUUGGGCUUGCAGUGGGUACGGGCAGACUAGAGUGCGGUAGGGGUGACUGGAAUUCCUGGUGUAGCGGUGGAAUGCGCAGAUAUCAGGAGGAACACCGAUGGCGAAGGCAGGUCACUGGGCCGCAACUGACGCUGAGGAGCGAAAGCAUGGGGAGCGAACAGG